CCCCCCACUCACAACCCCACCCCCCUCGUGUGGUGGUGGUGGUUUGGAUCCAAUGAGUCAUGCGUGUGUAUUGUGUUGUGUGUUGUAUCCACACACACACACACACAAAUACGCUGACUUGAAGUGUACACUGAAUCGGGCCUAUGUAUACUGUACAUGCGGCACUGACGUGAUAGUCUCACAUGUUUGGGAACACAACUCGUCAGGCACACAAUGCCACGUGUCGGUCAUAGUGACCUAGUCACACACACACACCACAUACACCAAA
rnacentral:misc_RNA from 1 species